UGGGGAAUAUUGGACAAUGGGGGCAACCCUGAUCCAGCAAUACCGCGUGUGUGAAGAAGGCCUUCGGGUUGUAAAGCCCUUUAGGUGGGGAAGAAGGUAUGUAGUUUAAGAGAUGACAUACUUGACGGUACUCACAGAAUAAGCACCGGCUAACUCUGUGCCAGCAGCCGCGGUGAUACAGAGGGUGCAAGCGUUAAUCGGAAUUACUGGGCGUAAAGGGCGCGUAGGUGGAUGUUUAAGUGAGAUGUGAAAUCCCCGGGCUUAACCUGGGAACUGCAUCUUAUACUGGGCAUCUGGAGUGUGGUAGAGGGUAGUGGAAUUUCCGGUGUAGCGGUGAAAUGCGUAGAUAUCGGAAGGAACACCAGUGGCGAAGGCGGCUACCUGGACUAACACUGACACUGAGGCGCGAGAGCGUGGGGAGCAAACAGG
rnacentral:rRNA from 1 species